UACAGAGGGGGCAAGCGUUGUUCGGAAUUACUGGGCGUAAAGGGCGCGUAGGCGGCCUGCUAAGUCGAACGUGAAAUCCCCGAGCUCAACUCGGGAACUGCGUCCGAUACUGGCAGGCUUGAAUCCGGGAGAGGGGUGCGGAAUUCCAGGUGUAGCGGUGAAAUGCGUAGAUAUUGGGAGGAACACCGGUGGCGAAGGCGGCCAUCUGGGAAGGUACUGACGCUGAGACGCGAAAGCGUGGGGAGCAAACAGG
rnacentral:rRNA from 1 species